rnacentral:rRNA from 1 species
AAGCGGAGGAAAAGAAACUAACAAGGAUUCCUUUAGUAACGGCGAGUGAACCGGGAAAAGCUCAAAUUUGUAAUCUGGCUGUCUUCGAUAGUCCGAGUUGUAAUCUAUAGACGUGUUUUCCGUGCUGGAUCGUAUCUAAGUCCCUUGGAACAGGGUAUCAAAGAGGGUGACAAUCCCGUGCUUGAUACGACGACCAGUGCUCUGUGAUACACGUUCUACGAGUCGAGUUGUUUGGGAAUGCAGCUCAAAAUGGGUGGUAAAUUCCAUCUAAAGCUAAAUAUUGGCGAGAGACCGAUAGCGAACAAGUACCGUGAGGGAAAGAUGAAAAGCACUUUGGAAAGAGAGUUAAACAGUACGUGAAAUUGUUGAAAGGGAAACGAUUGAAGUCAGUCGUGUUCUUCAGAUUCAGCUGGUUCUUCCAGUCUACUUCUGUUGAACGGGUCAACAUCAGUUUUGUCCGGUGGAUAAAGGUAGUAGGAAUGUGACUCCCCCGGGAGUGUUAUAGCCUAUUAUUGCAUACACUGGGUGAGACUGAGGACUGCAGCUCGCCUUUUGGCCGGUCUUCGGACACGUUCGAGCUUAGGAUGUUGACAUAAUGGCUUUAAACGACCCGUC